GGGGGUGUAGCUCAGUUGGUAGAGCACCUGCUUUGCAAGCAGGGGGUCAGCGGUUCGAAUCCGCUCAUCUCCACCA
rnacentral:tRNA from 1 species